rnacentral:rRNA from 1 species
AUUGAACGCUGGCGGCAGGCCUAACACAUGCAAGUCGAACGGCAGCACAGAAGAGCUUGCUCUUUGGGUGGCGAGUGGCGGACGGGUGAGUAAUGUCUGGGAAACUGCCCGAUGGAGGGGGAUAACUACUGGAAACGGUAGCUAAUACCGCAUAACGUCGCGAGACCAAAGUGGGGGACCUUCGGGCCUCACACCAUCGGAUGUGCCCAGAUGGGAUUAGCUAGUAGGUGGGGUAAUGGCUCACCUAGGCGACGAGCCCUAGCUGGUCUGAGGGGAUGGCCAGCCACACUGGAACUGAGAAACGGUCCAGACUCCUACGGGAGGCAGCAGUGGGGAAUAUUGCAAAAUGGGCGCAAGCCUGAUGCAGCCAUGCCGCGUGUAUGAAGAAGGCCUUCGGGUUGUAAAGUACUUUCAGCGGGGAGGAAGGCGGUGAGGUUAAUAACCUUGCCGAUUGACGUUACCCGCAGAAGAAGCACCGGCUAACUCCGUGCCAGCAGCCGCCGUAA